UCCAAUAUCCCCAAUAUUAACUCCUCCCAUAAAUCUACAUACCAGUUAACAACUGGAGAGCCAGUGCAGACUGACCAGGAACACCCACAGGCUAAAGAAAACAAAGUUAGUCGUAAUUGCUAUGCCUGUGUUUGUUUGGUGCAAGCCACGGGAGAAAGGACCUGGGAUCUUCAUCCCUCUAAGCAUGGUCCCUUUUAGUUGCCCUGGACACCAAAUGUACAUCCUGAUACUAGCCACUAUGAGACAUGCUAGCUCUGGGAGCUGAGGAGCUCCUGUGAAGCCACACUACAGAUGCCUAGUGGGCUGAGGAAGACCAAACUCUAGUCCACCAAGCAAGGAUAACAUCCUUGCUAUACUUCUUGACCCCAGUAACCACCAGCUUCGAAUGACUGCUGUAUGGGGAGGAGGAAGAGGAGGAGGAGGAGGACCCAAGACAGGAGGAGCUUCGAACUCUUCAUGAGGCAGAGCCAGACAUACCAGGAUGAAGAGAAGCUGACAGGCUGGCCUGCCUGCAGCCAUUACUGCUCCCACUAUAACCCUCCCACCAAAUGACACACCUGCUUCAUUCUAGUCCUAGAGCAUGAGGGGUGUGGUUUUAAGAAAGAAACAAGCAGCUUUGUUGAAACAUAUUUUUAGUGUCCAGUACAAUUUGUAGCUCAUUAUAAACAAUUCAGUGCAGUUUUAUAAACCUACAAAGUUGUGUAACCGUCAGUACAAUACAUCUUUAGGACAUGGCGCUCACAGGCCCCAAAGUUCUACACUUAGUCCAUACCACAUUAAUCACAGCCACAAUUAAUCCCCAUGCUCACCCUCAGCUAUAAGCGACCAUUACUCUAUUUUCUCUCUCCAUAAAUCUCCCUUCUCUAAGCAUUUCAUUAAAAUAGCACACAAUUGUAAAUUUUGCACCUGGUUUCUUUCACUUUGUGGCUUUUUGAGAAUGUCCUGUUCCUGGUCUGUUCCAUGGCUAAGUGGAAGUUUAUCCGAUGGAUCUGCUGUUUUGUUUACUCUCUCACCAGCCAAUGAACACAUUUGGAUCGUCUCCAGUUUCUAGUUAUUAUGAAUAGAGCAGUUGUGAAUAAUUCCACCCAGACCUUUGUGUAGGUAUAUGCUUUCAUUCCACUUGGGUAGAUCCCUACAAGUACAGUCUGUGGGUCAUAUUAAGAGUCACACCUUAAGAAACUACCAAUCUACGUUCCCUAGUGGCUGCUCCAGAGAGCAGUGUACAUGAUGCAGCUUCAGCUUCUGCGUAUCCAUGCCAACACUUGGCAUCCCCAGUCUCUUGGAUCAUGGGCAUUAUGGCUGGGGUUUGCUGGAAUCACAUUGUUAUUUAAUUUGCAUCUCUCUAAUUAAUGACUAAAGAUACUGGGCAUGUUUCCACAUCCUUCCGAGCCACUGGUACAUCUUUAGGGAAAUACCUGUCCAGCUCACUCUUGCCUAUUUUAACUGUGCUAUUUGUCAUCUUAGCAUCCAGUUGGAAGAACUCUGCAUCUGGAAACGUGUUGCUCAUCACAUAUCUGAUGUGUUAACAUGUCCUCUUAUUUGGUGGCUUAUCUUUUCAUUUUUAUAAUUGUGCCUUUGGAAGCUCAAUGCUUCUAAAUUUUUAUCAGUUAUGAAACAUGCACAGCGUCAUUUACCCAAUCCAAGGACACAAGAAUUUUCUCAUUUUCUUUGAGAAAUUUUAUACUUUUAGCUAUUAUAUCUAGGACCAAGACUCUUUAAUUAUCUUGACGAUGUAAUUAAAUUUAAUUAUGUUGAUACUGAUGCUGUGAGAAAAGGUGUCUCAGUUCACAUUUCUGCCUGUGGUUGUCUACGGAACACACACCACUUGAUAAACGUAUAUGCCUUCUAUUUAGAAUUGGCCUGGACCUUGUCAGAGCUCAACGUGUCAGAUUACACAUAGAGGAUCUUUCUGGAUACACACGCAUCUCCUCUGAUGUCUGUAGGUGUAUGUUCACCUGACUGCUGUACCUGUGUUUGGCCCCUUGCUGUUGAGACUCUGCUUGGAACUUUAAACAAAAUGAAGGGUGCCU